rnacentral:rRNA from 1 species
GAUGAACGCUGGCGGCGUGCCUAAUACAUGCAAGUCGAGCGAACGGACGAGAAGCUUGCUUCUCUGAUGUUAGCGGCGGACGGGUGAGUAACACGUGGAUCACCUACCUAUCAGACUGGGAUAACUUCGGGAAACCGGAGCUAAUACCGGAUAAUAUUUUGAACCGCAGGGUUCAAAAGUGAAAGACGGUCUUGCUGUCACUUAUAGAUGGAUCCGCGCUGCAUUAGCUAGUUGGUAAGGUAACGGCCUACCAAGGCAACGAUGCAUAGCCGACCGGAGAGGGUGAUCGGCCACACUGGAACUGAGACAGGGUCCAGACUCCUACGGGAGGCAGCAGUAGGGAAUCGUCCGCAAUGGGCGAAAGCCUGACGGGGCAACGCGGCGUGAGUGAUGAAGGUCUUCGGAGCGUAAUACUCGGUUAUUAGGGAAGAACAUAUGUGUAAGGAACUGUGCACAUCUUGACGGUACCUAAUCAGAAAGCCACGGCUAACUACGUG